rnacentral:rRNA from 10 species
UUAAAUUGAAGAGUUUGAUCAUGGCUCAGAUUGAACGCUGGCGGCAGGCCUAACACAUGCAAGUCGAACGGUAACAGGAAGCAGCUUGCUGCUUUGCUGACGAGUGGCGGACGGGUGAGUAAUGUCUGGGAAACUG